rnacentral:snRNA from 1 species
ACUAAUACCUUGCAGGGGAAAUGCCAUGUCAUAAAAGUGGUUUUCCUAGGGGAGGCUCAUCCAUUGUACUUUGGGUGUGCUGCUGAUUCUUGUGAUUUCCCCAAAUGUGGGGAACUCAGCUGUAUAAUCUGUGUUAAUGGGAGAUUACAUUUGUGAUUUUUUU